rnacentral:lncRNA from 1 species
UUGAGGCUCAGAGAGAUGAAGGGACUUGUCCAAGCUGGUCUUCGGAGGAGCUUCCGGCUGGGCUGUAGGGAGAGACUGGGUGGCUCGCAGGAAGGAAAGAUGUCCUCCGGAGCUGAGUCUCCGGAGCUGCUGACUUACGAAGAGGUGGCCAGGUACCAACACCAGCCCGGAGAGCGGCCCCGCCUGGUGGUUCUGAUCGGGUCUCUGGGAGCCCGACUGCACGAGCUGAAGCAAAAGGUGGUGGCUGAGAACCCACAGCACUUUGGCGUCGCUGUUCCAC